CGGAGGUGCAAGCGUUAAUCGGAAUUACUGGGCGUAAAGCGCACGCAGGCGGUCUGUUAAGUCAGAUGUGAAAUCCCCGGGCUUAACCUGGGAACUGCAUUUGAAACUGGCAGGCUUGAGUCUUGUAGAGGGGGUAGGAAUUCCAGGUGUAGCGGUGAAAUGCGUAGAGAUCUGGAGGAAUACCGGUGGCGAAGGCGGCCCCCUUGGACAAAGACUGACGCUCAGGUGCGAAAAGCGUGGGGAGCAAACAGGAUU
rnacentral:rRNA from 1 species